rnacentral:lncRNA from 1 species
CGUUCGGGUGUCGGCGCAAUGCGGAGGAAGUAUCCCUCAACUUGUUGCCCAAUGCUCGCAGUUCGUCAAAAAAGAGGGACCACAAAUCCCUCCGUCCUCCGGUUGCUGUUCUGCGGUGAAAGCUGCUGACGUCCCUUGUGUUUGCGCCCUCGUUACGCCGGCUAUAGAGAAGAUUAUCAGCAUGGAGAAGGUGGUCUACGUAGCUCGUACUUGUGGCGUCACGGUUAAACCCAGCACAAAAUGUGGAAGUGAGUUUCUUUGUUGAAACCCUAAUCAAACUUCUAGUACGUACCAUGUGUGUACACAUGCAUGUUUUUAUCAUAUACUUACGGAUUUUUUUUUUUUUGAAAUCAUGAUUUCGAUAUUUCAGG